rnacentral:rRNA from 1 species
GACGAACGCUGGCGGCGUGCUUAACACAUGCAAGUCGAACGCAGUGGCGGACGGGUGAGUAACGCGUAAUCACCCUGCCCUUCAGAGGGGGACAACAGUUGGAAACGACUGCUAAUACCGCAUACUGAGGGAGGGGAGUGCGUGGGAUUAGCUAGUUGGAGGGGUACCGGCCUAACAAGGAGAUGGUAAGUAGCCGGUCUGGGAGGAUGAACGGCCACAUGGGGACUGAGAAACGGCCCAGACUCCUACGGGAGGCAGCAGUGGGGAAUCUUCCGCAAUGGACGAAAGUCUGACGGAGCAACGCCGCGGGAGUGAUGACGGCCUUCGGGUUGUAAAGCUCUGUUAAUCGGGACGCGGUACCGGAAUAGAAAGCCACGGCUAACUACGUGCCAACAGCCGCGGUAAUAC